rnacentral:rRNA from 1 species
GGGUUGUGAGGUUAAGCGACUAAGCGUACACGGUGGAUGCCCUGGCAGUCAGAGGCGAUGAAGGACGUGCUAAUCUGCGAAAAGCGUCGGUAAGGUGAUAUGAACCGUUACAGCCGGCGAUGUCCGAAUGGGGAAACCCAGUGCAAUUCGUUGCACUAUCGUUAACUGAAUACAUAGGUUAACGAGGCGAACCGGGGGAACUGAAACAUCUAAGUACCCCGAGGAAAAGAAAUCAACCGAGAUUCCCCCAGUAGCGGCGAGCGAACGGGGAGCAGCCCAGAGUCUGAAUCAGCUUGUGUGUUAGUGGAACGGUCUGGAAAGUCCGACGGUACAGGGUGAUAGUCCCGUACACCAAAAUGCACAGGCUGUGAACUCGAAGAGUAGGGCGGGACACGUGGUAUCCUGUCUGAAUAUGGGGGGACCAUCCUCCAAGGCUAAAUACUCCUGACUGACCGAUAGUGAACCAGUACCGUGAGGGAAAGGCGAAAAGAACCCCGGCGAGGGGAGUGAAAAAGAACCUGAAACCGUGUACGUACAAGCAGUGGGAGCACCUUCGGGUGUGACUGCGUACCUUUUGUAUAAUGGGUCAGCGACUUAUAUUCUGUAGCAAGGUUAACCGUAUAGGGGAGCCGCAGGGAAACCGAGUCUUAACUGGGCGUUAAGUUGCAGGGUAUAGACCCGAAACCCGGUGAUCUAGCCAUGGGCAGGUUGAAGGUUGGGUAACACUAACUGGAGGACCGAACCGACUAAUGUUGAAAAAUUAGCGGAUGACUUGUGGCUGGGGGUGAAAGGCCAAUCAAACCGGGAGAUAGCUGGUUCUCCCCGAAAGCUAUUUAGGUAGCGCCUCGUGAACUCAUCUUCGGGGGUAGAGCACUGUUUCGGCUAGGGGGUCAUCCCGACUUACCAACCCGAUGCAAACUACGAAUACCGAAGAAUGUUAUCACGGGAGACACACGGCGGGUGCUAACGUCCGUCGUGAAGAGGGAAACAACCCAGACCGCCAGCUAAGGUCCCAAAGUCACAGUUAAGUGGGAAACGAUGUGGGAAGGCACAGACAGCCAGGAUGUUGGCUUAGAAGCAGCCAUCAUUUAAAGAAAGCGUAAUAGCUCACUGGUCGAGUCGGCCUGCGCGGAAGAUGUAACGGGGCUAAACUGUGCACCGAAGCUGCGGCAGCGACACUAUGUGUUGUUGGGUAGGGGAGCGUUCUGUAAGCCUGCGAAGGUGGCCUGUGAGGGUUGCUGGAGGUAUCAGAAGUGCGAAUGCUGACAUAAGUAACGAUAAUGCGGGUGAAAAGCCCGCACGCCGGAAGACCAAGGGUUCCUGUCCAACGUUAAUCGGGGCAGGGUGAGUCGACCCCUAAGGCGAGGCCGAAAGGCGUAGUCGAUGGGAAACAGGUUAAUAUUCCUGUACUUGGUGUUACUGCGAAGGGGGGACGGAGAAGGCUAUGUUAGCCGGGCGACGGUUGUCCCGGUUUAAGCAUGUAGGCGGAGGUUCCAGGUAAAUCCGGUACCUUUUAACGCUGAGGUGUGAUGACGAGGCACUACGGUGCUGAAGUAACAAAUGCCCUGCUUCCAGGAAAAGCCUCUAAGCAUCAGGUAACAUUGAAUCGUACCCCAAACCGACACAGGUGGUCAGGUAGAGAAUACCAAGGCGCUUGAGAGAACUCGGGUGAAGGAACUAGGCAAAAUGGUGCCGUAACUUCGGGAGAAGGCACGCUGAUAUGUAGGUGAAGCCCCUGCGGGUGGAGCUGAAAUCAGUCGAAGAUACCAGCUGGCUGCAACUGUUUAUUAAAAACACAGCACUGUGCAAACACGAAAGUGGACGUAUACGGUGUGACGCCUGCCCGGUGCCGGAAGGUUAAUUGAUGGGGUUAUCCGUAAGGAGAAGCUCUUGAUCGAAGCCCCGGUAAACGGCGGCCGUAACUAUAACGGUCCUAAGGUAGCGAAAUUCCUUGUCGGGUAAGUUCCGACCUGCACGAAUGGCGUAAUGAUGGCCAGGCUGUCUCCACCCGAGACUCAGUGAAAUUGAACUCGCUGUGAAGAUGCAGUGUACCCGCGGCAAGACGGAAAGACCCCGUGAACCUUUACUAUAGCUUGACACUGAACAUUGAGCCUUGAUGUGUAGGAUAGGUGGGAGGCUUUGAAGCGUGGACGCCAGUCUGCGUGGAGCCAACCUUGAAAUACCACCCUUUAAUGUUUGAUGUUCUAACGUUGGCCCCUAAUCGGGGUUGCGGACAGUGUCUGGUGGGUAGUUUGACUGGGGCGGUCUCCUCCCAAAGAGUAACGGAGGAGCACGAAGGUUAGCUAAUCCUGGUCGGACAUCAGGAGGUUAGUGCAAUGGCAUAAGCUAGCUUGACUGCGAGCGUGACGGCGCGAGCAGGUGCGAAAGCAGGUCAUAGUGAUCCGGUGGUUCUGAAUGGAAGGGCCAUCGCUCAACGGAUAAAAGGUACUCCGGGGAUAACAGGCUGAUACCGCCCAAGAGUUCAUAUCGACGGCGGUGUUUGGCACCUCGAUGUCGGCUCAUCACAUCCUGGGGCUGAAGUAGGUCCCAAGGGUAUGGCUGUUCGCCAUUUAAAGUGGUACGCGAGCUGGGUUUAGAACGUCGUGAGACAGUUCGGUCCCUAUCUGCCGUGGGCGCUGGAGAAUUGAGGGGGGCUGCUCCUAGUACGAGAGGACCGGAGUGGACGCAUCACUGGUGUUCGGGUUGUCAUGCCAAUGGCAUUGCCCGGUAGCUAAAUGCGGAAGAGAUAAGUGCUGAAAGCAUCUAAGCACGAAACUUGCCCCGAGAUGAGUUCUCCCUGAGACUUUAAGUCUCCUGAAGGAACGUUAAAGACGAUGACGUUGAUAGGUCGGGUGUGUAAGCGUAGCGAUACGUUGAGCUAACCGAUACUAAUGAACCGUGAGGCUUAACCUUACAACGCCGAAG